UACGACCUCAUCACGUUGAAAGGCCGGUUCCCGUAUAAUCACCGAAGUUAAGCAACGUCGAGCCUGGUCAGUACCAAGAUAGGUGACCGCUUGUGAAUACCUGGUGCUGUAAG
rnacentral:rRNA from 1 species